rnacentral:rRNA from 1 species
GCUGGCGGCGUGCUUAACACAUGCAAGUCGAACGAUGAAACCUAGCUUGCUAGGUGGAUUAGUGGCGCACGGGUGAGUAAUAUAUAGAUAAUCUGCCUCUUAGUCUGGGAUAGCCAUUGGAAACGAUGAUUAAUACUAGAUACUCCUUCUCUUUAUAAUAAGAGUUGGGAAAGGAACAUCUWUAUGGUGUUUCGCUAAGAGAUGAGUCUAUAUCCCAUCAGGUAGUUGGUAGUGUAAGAGACUACCAAGCCUAUGACGGGUAGCGGGUUUGAGAGGAUGAUCCGCCACACUGGUACUGAGACACGGACCAGACUCCUACGGGAGGCAGCAGUGAGGAAUAUUGCACAAUGGAGGAAACUCUGAUGCAGCAACGCCGCGUGGAGGAUGACGCAUUUCGGUGUGUAAACUCCUUUUAUAUGUCAAGAAAAUGACGGUAGCAUAUGAAUAAGCACCGGCUAACUCCGUGCCAGCAGCCGCGGUAAUACGGAGGGUGCAAGCGUUAUUCGGAAUCACUGGGCGUAAAGGACACGUAGGCGGGAAGCCAAGUCUGAUGUGAAAUCCUACAGCUUAACUGUAGAACUGCAUUGGAAACUGGUUACCUAGAGUAUGGGAGGGGGAGAUGGAAUUAGUGGUGUAGGGGUAAAAUCCGUAGAUAUCACUAGGAAUACCUAAAGCGAAGGCGAUCUCCUGGAACAUUACUGACGCUAAGGUGUGAAAGCGUGGGGAGCAAACGGGAUUAGAUACCCCGGUAGUCCACGCCCUAAACGAUGAACACUAGUCGUCGGGAUGCUAGUCAUCUCGGUGAUGCACUUAACAGAUUAAGUGUUCCGCCUGGGGAGUACGGU